UGGGGAAUAUUGCACAAGGGGCGCAAGCCUGAUGCAGCCAUGCCGCGUGUAGGAAGAAGGCAUUCGGGUGGGAAAGUACUUUCAGUCGGGAGGAAGGUGGUAAGGUUAAGAACCUUGGCAAGUGACGGUACCGACAGAAGAAGCACCGGGUAACUCCGUGCCAGCAGCCGCGGUAAUACGGAGGGUGCAAGCGUUAAUCGGAAUUACUGGGCGUAAAGCGCACGCAGGCGGUUGAUUGAGUCAGAUGUGAAAUCCCCGGGCUUAACCCGGGAAUUGCAUCUGAUACUGGUCAGCUAGAGUCUUGUAGAGGGGGGUAGAAUUCCAUGUGUAGCGGUGAAAUGCGUAGAGAUGUGGAGGAAUACCGGUGGCGAAGGCGGCCCCCUGGACAAAGACUGACGCUCAGGUGCGAAAGCGUGGGGAGCAAACAGG
rnacentral:rRNA from 1 species